rnacentral:rRNA from 1 species
UACGAAGGGGGCUAGCGUUGCUCGGAAUUACUGGGCGUAAAGCGCACGUAGGCGGCUCUUUAAGUCGGGGGUGAAAUCCUGGAGCUCAACUCCAGAACUGCGUCCGAUACUGGCAGGCUUGAAUUCGGGAGAGGGAUGCGGAAUUCCAGGUGUAGCGGUGAAAUGCGUAGAUAUCAAGAGGAACACCUGCGGCGAAGGCGGGUUGCUGGGCCGACACUGACGCUGAUGCGCGAAAGCUAGGGGAGCGAACGGG